rnacentral:rRNA from 1 species
AGACAGUUCGGUCUCUAUCUGUUGCGGGCGUAGGAAAUUUGAGGGGUCCUGACUUUAGUACGAGAGGACCGAGUUGGACGAACCUCUGGCGUAUCAGUUGUGCCGCCAGGUGCAUUGCUGAGUACCCAUGUUCGGAUUGGAUAAGUGCUGAAAGCAUCUAAGCACGAAGCCAACCCCAAGAUAAGAUUUCCCUUGAGGGUCGUAGGAGACUACUACGUUGAUAGGCUGCAGGUGUAAAGGCAGUGAUGUCAAAGCCGAGCAGUACUAAUAACCCGAAAGACUUUCUUGA